GUAGUUUAUUCCACUUGGCGUCGCUCUUGUUCUACGUUUUAUAGAAGUCUUUAGCCAGCUAGCAACGUAUGGAGAACGUCUCGACGCGUGACGUCAUUACCGCUUCCACUUGUCACAAGAGUGCGGCGGAUGACGAGCAGCCCGGUAGCAGUCGCCUUUCUCUGCGUUUGAUCGUGACAUUUGUUAAUGGUAGAAAGUACCGGAAUGGCGACUGCAAAAAAAAGGCAAUUGGUACCGGACUGUUCCAUCAUCCCCCGCACUAUUGUUACAAGCGUAGUGUGCAUGAAGUCAGUGUAGCUUUGGCUAGCCUAGCACCGAAUGUCAGCCAUGACGAGGAACGGCGGGCGGGACUUCAGAGGUCCGCUCACCCUGCGGGCCGCACUAAUAUACUUUCACAUCAAGGUGGGAGCCACGAGACAUCGUCCUGCGGGCCGCGAGAACGAGACCUCUGGUCUAGAGCUUUCUUCUGUUUUUAUAUUCCGUGAGUUUUACUCUCCGCUUUAAUGCAGCAGUUUGCCUCUUUUGCCAAGCAGAGGCAGACCCAGGGUGGAGCAGGCCCUAGUGAGGUCAAAGUGCAGAGUAUAAACCGCCGCUCCAGAAGGGUUCAGGAGUAAGGGAGAAGUCACUCUUCAGUUGUUCCCCAAACCGGGUUUCACUGCAAAAUCUGUGAGCUCUCCGGCCAAUUGGACUCCCCGCCUUUUGAUCCACGCGCCACAUUCAGCCAAUGGCAGGAGCUCGGAGCUUGACUGACAGCGAUACCGGAGAGAGCCCGAAAAGAAGGUUUUCAGGAGGAAAGGGAGGGGACGGCAGAGAGAUACAGUCUUUUGGCACCAGCUGCUGAGAGUCUUCUCUCCACCGCUGUCAG